rnacentral:lncRNA from 1 species
GCGGAACUUCAGCACUGGCCACCUUCGGGGCCUCUGGAGCCUCCUCAGUAACCUUAUCAGGCCGACCUCCAGUUGGUCCCCCAAACUCUGCCUCCAGUUGAGAGAUAUCCAGGGUAGGAUGCACCUCCUUCAGUUGACCUAGUAGGCUUUGGGCACUCCACAAGGCCCAGAAGUUGGCAAAAUCGUCGUAAAGGGGAUGUUCUUCGAAGUGAUCAAUAAAAUUCUGGACCGCCACCUCCCCUGCAGACUUUAAUUCCUCCUUCAAAGAGGCGAUCUCCACUGACUGGGUCUCCGUCUGCUGCUUCAGCUCUGCCUUUUCUCUGUUAGAGGCCUCCAGAGCAUCGGUGGCGAGCUUGUGGUGCUCGUUAGUGUGGUCAAGUCUCCGAGUCACUGCAGCCACUUGGCACUCCACUUCGUAGAGCUCUUUUUUCAGCCGCUCCACCUCUGCCUGCGCAGCAGCAAGCUGGACCUCAGCAGCUCUCUUCCCCUCCUCUGCCUUGGUGGCUUUGGCCUAGGUAGCUCGCACAGCGUCCCCAUAAUGCAUCGUCUCCUCGAAGUGCUUGGCGAGGUCCUCCCUCUUGGAGUUUAGAUCCUUCACCAAGCCCUGGAGCUGGAUGCUUGUGCUUAGUGCCCGGGCCACGCAGGCGCUGUUCGUCGCCACCAAGUCUUCGACCGUGCAGGAGGCGGUAUGGUCCCUCCACUCUUCAGUCCAAUAUUUACUGUGGACCAUCGCCACCGCAGCUGUCUCCGGAGAAAGAGCCUCCAACACCUCCCUUACAGGCUCCUCUUGAUUGGUGCCCAAGAAAUCAACCUCUUUGCUGGAGCGGGCCCUUUUUCUCCUCUGCUACCCCAGAACUUGUUCAAUGGGUAUGGCCGCAAGGGGCGCUGUGUCCGGGGCAGCGACAAGCUCUGCCACAGCGGGGCUUCUCUCCAAAAGGGCCAUCCCCGUAGGAAUAGUUGUCUGCCUCAAAACUGGGCGUCUGAGGGGGCAACACUCUUCUUGCCCUUCCUUCGGAGGUCAGCCUCCGGGUCCUCCUGAACCUCCUCCUCCGUCGGAGGCUGAAGCCUCUUACUGGCCUCCACCAGCUCCUCC